CAUUUUGGGUUUUUUUUCCUCCCGAUUUCUUUGGAGAUCCCAUUUUGCGACGCGCGGCGUCGGGCUCGGAAAGAUCUUUCCGAGGAGUACUCACGGACUCCGGGAGUCCAUCGGGAUCGAAAGAUAGGCACGUUAACGCGGAGACGCGCUGUUUACUGAGAAAUCAAAAUUUUCGAAUUUCGUCGUGUGAAGUUGAGCGGUAAAUUCGCCUUAAGUAAAUUUGCAAUGCGUAACAUGAC
rnacentral:misc_RNA from 1 species